rnacentral:rRNA from 1 species
CGUGCUAAAAGACGCAUUCAGCAAUGAGUGUGUUGCACUUAUCGGAGCAAAACCCUUCCUGGUUUUAUGCUAACUCUGGAUAACACUGCUUAUCGCAUGGCCUUGUGCCGGCGAAGUUACAUUCAAGUAUCUGCCUUAUCAACUUUUGAUGGUAGUGUAUUGGACUGCCAUGGUGUUGACGGGUAACGGAGAAUCAGGGUUCGACUCCGGAGAGGGAGCCUUAGAAACGGCUACCAUGUCUAAGGACAGCAGCAGGCGCGCAACUUAUCCACUGUUCAUUGAACGAGAUAGUGACGAGAAAUAACAAGUUCGUUCUCUAUGAGGUCGAGCAUUGGAAUGGAUGGAAUCUAAACAGUUCCAUGAGUACCUACGAGAGGGCAAGUCUGGUGCCAGCAGCCGCGGUAAUUCCAGCUCUCGUAAUGUAUAGAAUUAUUGUUGCGGUUAAAAAGUUCGUAGUUGGAUUUUCGACUGUUUAAGGGUCAGCCCUAACGGGAUGUACUCUUGACAGUGUUUGCAUUCAGUUUGGGAGCAAUUCCAAAUCGAGUGCAGAUUACUUUGAACGGCUUAAGUGCUCAAGGCGAGUCUUCGGACUGAAUACCGGUGCAUGGAAUAAUGGAACAAGGUUUCGGCUGAGUUUUAUUGGUUUUGUCGGCUAAAACAAUGGUUAACAGGAACAGCUGGGGGCACUCGUAUUGCUACACGAGAGGUGAAAUUCGUGGACUGUAGCAAGACGCCCUAAAGCGAAGGCAUUUGCCAAGAGUGUUUUCAUUAAUCAAGAACGAAAG